GUCCUGAAGGGUUGUUCGAGACUAGAACGUUGAUAGGCAGGGUGUGUAAGCGUUGUGAGGCGUUGAGCUAACCUGUACUAAUUGCCCGUGAGGCUUAACCAUACAACACCCAAGGGGUUU
rnacentral:rRNA from 1 species